CCUACGGGGUGCAGCAGUGAGGUAUAUUGGUCAAUGGACGAGAGUCUGAACCAGCCAAGUAGCGUGAAGGAUGACUGCCCUAUGGGUUGUAAACUUCUUUUAUAUGGGAAUAAAAUGUUCCACGUGUGGGAUUUUGUAUGUACCAUAUGAAUAAGGAUCGGCUAACUCCGUGCCAGCAGCCGCGGUAAUACGGAGGAUCCGAGCGUUAUCCGGAUUUAUUGGGUUUAAAGGGAGCGUAGGUGGAUUGUUAAGUCAGUUGUGAAAGUUUGCGGCUCAACCGUAAAAUUGCAGUUGAAACUGGCAGUCUUGAGUACAGUAGAGGUGGGCGGAAUUCGUGGUGUAGCGGUGAAAUGCUUAGAUAUCACGAAGAACUCCGAUUGCGAAGGCAGUUCACUGGACUGCAACUGACACUGAGGCUCGAAAGUGUGGGUAUCAAACAGGAUUAGAUACCCUAGUAGUC
rnacentral:rRNA from 1 species